AUCAAAAUGAUGAGGAACUGUUUGCUGAAAUUUAUUUGUUGAAGAUAAAUAUCAUAAGCCUUCAAAGUUCUCUGAUUGCG